ACGGAUGGGUGGCGCGGCGCGCUGCGAUGCUUGCGCUGCUGGGUCGAUAGCACGACUGUGCCCGUCCCGUUCCAGUCCAACCUCAUUAGUUUCUGCAAGUGCUCCCGCGCCAAAAUGUGACAUUGUUGACGUGGAACGCGGCGACCUCUGCACUCCGGCUGCUUUCGGCGCGGAGACUCGAGUCGUUCCGAUCGGCGCGUUGCUGCGCGUUGCCGCUGGCGUCGUGUGAGGUGAAGGCGGUCCGGGCCGCGCCAUGAGGGCCGCGUCUCCCUGAAGCGAGGACACCGCAAACCGAGGAUGCCUUUCGGACUAGGAUGGACCAACGACGACUGGCUGGAGGAGCUGACCGGCAACAUCACUUUCCACAUCCCAGGCGGGGGCACCUGGUGCGACCAAUGGCGGGACCCGCAGAACGUCCUGUACCACGUGGCCAACACGUGCUUCGCCCUGGCCUACGUGGCGCCCACCAACAGCAACGGCGAGCUCUUCAUGCAGGCCGCGCUCAUAGUCGGAUUUAUCUUGUUCUCCGCCUGGUCCUGGGAGUCCAUCUGCGCCCCCGACGCCUUCUCGUGGAACUUCGGCUUCGCGCUGCUGAAUAUGCUGCAACUUUUUCACGCCGUCUACCGCCUCCGGCCCGUCAAGUUUGACCCGGAGUUGGAGGAGGUGUACCGGAACCUGUUCCAGCCCUUCAAGGUGACGAGGAUCCAGUUCAAGAAGCUGGUGAGCGCCGAGUUCGCCCAGAUCAUGUCCCUGCACGCCGGGGAGGCGUACGCCAUGCAGAGCCUGACCAGGACGGACCGCCUCGGUCUGCUGCUGUCGGGGAAGGUGAACGUUAUGUCGGACCAUCAGUUCCUGCACCCCAUCUUGCCCUGCGAGUUCCUCGACUCGCCCGAGUUCGAGUCGAGCCGAGCGAACGUGGACGACAAAUUCAAAGUGUCCAUCAUCGCGGCCACGUCGUGCAGGUACCUGUUUUGGCAGCGGACGGCCCUGGAGUACCUCUUCGUCAAGGAGACGUACCUGGCCACCGUGGUCAGCACCAUCGUGGCCAGGGACAUCACCACCAAGCUGUACUCCAUGAACAGCAAGAUCGUGACGGGCAAGGGUUCCCAUCUGGACAUCCGCUUGCCCGCCGUGACGUCAUCGCUGGGCGCGAAGGCCACCCCCCGCAUCCUGAGGCAGCACCGGCGGGCCAAGCAGAACCCCUCCACCUCGCCGCCCAGCCACAGCACCGCCACGGGUAUUAACCUCUGACGAGCGGCGGCGCCGAUACACUUUUAACAAUAAAUCGGAAAGUCCCGGAAAAUCCGCUGGGCAGCCGCGAGCGCCUCGUGCAGUCGCCGGCCAAGGAGAAGAAGGACAAGGAGGGCAAGGAGAACGGCAGGCCGGAGAAGCAGAUGGGCAACGGGCGCGCGCAGCGGCCCCCCGAGA
rnacentral:misc_RNA from 1 species